AAAUCAGUAAAUAUAAAUUUUAAUUUUCUUAAAUUAAAAAAUGUGCCAAUUUUUUUUUUUUGAGUAUUUUUUAAAUUCAUUUUUAUGAAUUUGAAAUUAUUAAACUAAUAUUGUAAAUAUUUUUUAAAAUUGAAAAUACACUUUUCGAAAUGUCGACAUGGCAUUAUAAUCCACCACGUGAAAUUGUUUUGACUUGUAUAAUUAGGUUAAUCAUUUUCAAAAUUUAAUCGACUGUCAUUGGCUAUUAGAUUUUUAAUUGUUAUGAUUUUUUUUUCAGUUUAUUGUCCGAAAGUCCUUUAUUGUUCCAGAAGCAUAAAAUCUUUUGUUUUCCAAGAAAACUUCCGUGAAAGUUCGGAAAUGUCAUUAAUCAUUCUCAUUUUUAAAAACUGCUGAAUGCGCUAUAUAUAGAGUAUAUUUGAAAAGAGGAAUGCAUUUUAUGACAAUUGAAAUAACAUCACGAGUAUUUGUUUCAUAAAUCCAUUAGAGAAUUUUUAAAUUCAUGAUCAUUAUCAAUAUUUGAACAGGAAAAUUUUUUUAUAAAGGAUCUACGUUCGAAGCACAGUUUCGUCAAUGAGUUAUAUGGGAGUUUUAUUCUCUAUAUAACAAAUGACAGCUGAUAAAAUGACAUCACUGCGCACACGGCACAUUUUUUGAAACCCCAAAAAAAAAAAAACGACAUCUCGAAAAAUGAAUUUUAUAUUUGGCACGUGCAAUGAUAGCAUACA